rnacentral:lncRNA from 1 species
AAUGAGAGAUUAUAUUUGAAGUCUUUUAAAAAUGGUAGAAGAGAGGAAAUCAAAGGAUCAAGGAAUUAGAGCAUUAUAUGAAUUCAUCAGCAAGAUGUACAAAUCUCUUUUAUCAACACUGUUUUUAUGGAACUAGGAGUAACACUGUUGAUCUAUUUUUAAAAUGUAAUCCAUUGUUCACCUCUAAUUUUUUAUCAGACAAAAUGAGUGGCUUAAAUCCAUGAAACAAAGAUCUUUGUAGAGUUGGGGGGAAAAAGUAAAAGAUCUAUCUAGCCAGUGUACGUGAAGGCACACACAUGUAAAAAGAUGACAUUUUGAGCCUUGUCCUGAGUCUAUGAGCUAAUUGGUGAGAAUCCAUUCCAUUAAAGGUACUCCUGUCUUAUGGUGAUGCUGACCAGAACACUAGACAUGUUUCAAAGGAAAUGGGAAAUGGCUUCUUUAUAUGGCCGCAUCCUUAGACAUGAAUGAACACUGCAGAAGCAGGCAGAGACAAAAUGCAAAUCAUGAGAACUCUGUUUAGCCAAUCACUGGAAAGGAGUGUCUGGAAAUCAAACAUUUUCUCCAUUCUCCCCACCACAGGAUGUCUGCUGGUGAGACCCACUGGGCAGAGGGCACAGUUCGAUGGCCGUGGGUGGUGGUAGGAACAGAAGGAAUUGAUCUCGGCCCUCCAACCCAGGAGUGUCCCAAAGCAUGACAUGGAGAUAGCACAAAGCUUGCUGAGCUAUUUUAGGCAACCGCGAUAGACUUGCAAUGGCAAGAGGACUGAGUCAAACGGGCCACACAGCACUGUAGUCCUGCUUAGCACAUGGCCUCUGAUCAAAUCGCAAGGAGGCGUCCAGUGGCCAGAGCUCAGCAGUGAGAGCAGACAAGAGUGACAGAUGGAGGAUGAAGAGGAGGUGGGGUUCUCUUCUUGGGACACUGCUAGCUGGCUGGGUAGCACCAAAGCAAAGGUAAUGCCUCCAGCUAAAAUCCUGUUUCCAAGGAAGGGCUUUUUUCUUUGAACUUGGUUAAACCUGGACACUUGAAAAGUCAACAUUUCUCUCUUGAACACAUCCAACUUCAUAGAGGAGCCUGGGAAUCAGACCCACAUCAUGGAAACUUCCUGGGUCACUGCUCAAUGACCCCACAUUCUUCUAGGAAGUAUGUUGGGAGCUCUGCUCUUGAAAAGUAUUCACAGGCCUUCCUGAAAGGUGAGAAUAAAGAAUUUCCUUCCUCAGAACCACUGUGGGAGUGAAACGAGAGAAGGUAUAGAAGACGCCUAGCACAGUCAGGGACCCAUGGCAGGGGCACUGGUCCUCCACAUGUCCAGGUCUCUCCGGCCUCUGUGGCAGGUGGG